UGGCGGCGUGCUUAACACAUGCAAGUCGAACGAUGAAAGCGGGAGCUUGCUCCUGCUGGAUUAGUGGCGAACGGGUGAGUAACACGUGAGCAAUCUGCCCCGAACUCUGGGAUAAGCGUUGGAAACGACGUCUAAUACCGGAUACGACGCGCGAAGGCAUCUUCUGCGCGUGGAAAGAAUUUCGGUUCGGGAUGAGCUCGCGGCCUAUCAGCUAGUUGGUGAGGUAAUGGGCUCACCAAGGCGACGACGGGUAGCCGGCCUGAGAGGGUGACCGGCCACACUGGGACUGAGACACGGCCCAGACUCCUACGGGAGGCAGCAGUGGGGAAUAUUGCACAAUGGGCGCAAGCCUGAUGCAGCAACGCCGCGUGAGGGACGACGGCCUUCGGGUUGUAAACCUCUUUUAGUAGGGAAGAAGCGAAAGUGACGGUACCUGCAGAAAAAGCACCGGCUAACUACGUG
rnacentral:rRNA from 1 species